rnacentral:rRNA from 1 species
UGGGGAAUAUUGGACAAUGGGCGAAAGCCUGAUCCAGCCAUGCCGCGUGUGUGAAGAAGGUCUUCGGAUUGUAAAGCACUUUAAGUCGGGAGGAAGGGCCAUUACCUAAUACGUGAUGGUUUUGACGUUACCGACAGAAUAAGCACCGGCUAACUCUGUGCCAGCAGCCGCGGUAAUACAGAGGGUGCAAGCGUUAAUCGGAAUUACUGGGCGUAAAGCGCGCGUAGGUGGUUUGUUAAGUUGGAUGUGAAAUCCCCGGGCUCAACCUGGGAACUGCAUUCAAAACUGACAAGCUAGAGUAUGGUAGAGGGUGGUGGAAUUUCCUGUGUAGCGGUGAAAUGCGUAGAUAUAGGAAGGAACACCAGUGGCGAAGGCGACCACCUGGACUGAUACUGACACUGAGGUGCGAAAGCGUGGGGAGCAAACAGGAUUAGAUACCCUAGUAGUCCCUGAGCGGGCUGGCAAGGCGCAU